AUACGUAGGGGGCGAGCGUUGUCCGGAAUGACUGGGCGUAAAGGGCGUGUAGGCGGCGCUGUAAGUCUGGAGUGAAAGUCCUGUUUUCAAGGUGGGAAUUGCUUUGGAUACUGCCGCGCUUGAGUGCAGGAGAGGUUAUCGGAAUUCCCGGUGUAGCGGUGAAAUGCGUAGAGAUCGGGAGGAACACCAGUGGCGAAGGCGGGUAACUGGACUGCAACUGACGCUGAGGCGCGAAAGUGUGGGUAGCAAACAGGAUUAGAUACCCUGGUAGUCCACACUGUAAACGAUGAAUGCUAGGUGUAAGAGGUAUCGACCCCUUUUGUGCCGGAGUCAACACAAUAAGCAUUCCGCCUGGGGAGUACGGCCGCAAGGUUGAAACUCAAAGGAAUUGACGGGG
rnacentral:rRNA from 1 species